AUUGAACGCUGGCGGCAGGCUUAACACAUGCAAGUCGAGCGGGGGAAGGUAGCUUGCUACCGGACCUAGCGGCGGACGGGUGAGUAAUGCUUAGGAAUCUGCCUAUUAGUGGGGGACAACAUCUCGAAAGGGAUGCUAAUACCGCAUACGUCCUACGGGAGAAAGCAGGGGAUCUUCGGACCUUGCGCUAAUAGAUGAGCCUAAGUCGGAUUAGCUAGUUGGUGGGGUAAAGGCCUACCAAGGCGACGAUCUGUAGCGGGUCUGAGAGGAUGAUCCGCCACACUGGGACUGAGACACGGCCCAGACUCCUACGGGAGGCAGCAGUGGGGAAUAUUGGACAAUGGGGGGAACCCUGAUCCAGCCAUGCCGCGUGUGUGAAGAAGGCCUUAUGGUUGUAAAGCACUUUAAGCGAGGAGGAGGCUACUUUAGUUAAUACCUAGAGAUAGUGGACGUUACUCGCAGAAUAAGCACCGGCUAACUCUGUGCCAGCAGCCGCGGUAAUACAGAGGGUGCGAGCGUUAAUCGGAUUUACUGGGCGUAAAGCGUGCGUAGGCGGCUUAUUAAGUCGGAUGUGAAAUCCCCGAGCUUAACUUGGGAAUUGCAUUCGAUACUGGUGAGCUAGAGUAUG
rnacentral:rRNA from 1 species